CCUACGGGUGGCAGCAGUGAGGAAUAUUGGUCAAUGGCCGAGAGGCUGAACCAGCCAAGUCGCGUGAGGGAAGACGGCCCUACGGGUUGUAAACCUCUUUUGUUGGGGAGCAAAGCGAGUCACGUGUGACUCAUUGAGAGUACCCGAAGAAAAAGCAUCGGCUAACUCCGUGCCAGCAGCCGCGGUAAUACGGAAGGUCCGGGCGUUAUCCGGAUUUAGUGGGUUUAAAGGGAGCGUAGGCCGCAUGUCAAGCGUGCUGUGAAAUGUCCGGGCUCAACCCGGGCCUUGCAGCGCGAACUGGCGUGGUUGAGUCCGCGGAAAGCAGGCGGAAUUCGUCGUGUAGCGGUGAAAUGCUUAGAUAUGACGAAGAACCCCGAUUGCGAAGGCAGCUUGCUGCAGCGGAACUGACGCUGAUGCUCGAAAGCGCGGGUAUCGAACAGGAGUAGAUACCCUAGUAGUC
rnacentral:rRNA from 1 species